GACGAACGCUGGCGGCGUGCUUAAUACAUGCAAGUCAACGACUUUUAGAGUAGCAAUAUUCUAAAGGAAGUGGCGCACGGGUGAGUAACACGUAGGUAAUCUGCCUUCAGGACUGACACAACUCGUCGAAAGACGGGCUAAUAUCAGAUAAUGCAGCGGCUCCGCAUGGAGACAGUUGUUAAAGUACAAGCGCCUGAAGAUGAGCCUGCGGUCCAUUAGCUAGUUGGUAGAGUAAAGCCUACCAAGGCAACGAUGGAUAGCUGGUCUGAGAGGAUGAUCAGCCACACUGGAACUGAGACACGGUCCAGACUCCUACGGGAGGCAGCAGUAAGGAAUAUUGCUCAAUGGCCGAAAGGCUGAAGCAGCAACGCCGCGUGAAGGAUGAAUGGCCUUUGGCCUGUAAACUUCUGUAAAAGGGAAACAGUACAGGUAUAUCCUGAUUGAUUGUACCUUUGAAG
rnacentral:rRNA from 1 species